UACGUAGGGUGCGAGCGUUGUCCGGAAUUAUUGGGCGUAAAGGGCUCGUAGGCGGUUUGUCGCGUCGGGAGUGAAAUCCACUGGCUUAACUGGUGGCUUGCUUUCGAUACGGGCAGACUGGAGGUAUGCAGGGGAGAACGGAAUUCCUGGUGUAGCGGUGAAAUGCGCAGAUAUCAGGAAGAACACCCGUGGCGAAGGCGGCUCUCUGGGACGGUACUGACGCUGAUGCGCGAAAGCCAGGGGGAGCAAACGGG
rnacentral:rRNA from 1 species